CGGAGUGUAGCGCAGCCCGGUAGCGUACUAGCAUGGGGUGCUAGUGGUCGCUGGUUCAAAUCCAGUCACUCCGACC
rnacentral:tRNA from 1 species